rnacentral:rRNA from 1 species
UGGGGAGCUCUCCCAUAUGGUCGACCUGCAGGCGGCCGCGAAUUCACUAGUGAUUCGUAUUACCGCGGCUGCUGGCACAGAGUUAGCCGGUGCUUAUUCUGUCGGUAACGUCAAAACAGCAAAGUAUUAAUUUACUGCCCUUCCUCCCAACUUAAAGUGCUUUACAAUCCGAAGACCUUCUUCACACACGCGGCAUGGCUGGAUCAGGCUUUCGCCCAUUGUCCAAUAUUCCCCACUGCUGCCUCCCGUAGGAGUCUGGACCGUGUCUCAGUUCCAGUGUGACUGAUCAUCCUCUCAGACCAGUUACGGAUCGUCGCCUUGGUGAGCCAUUACCCCACCAACUAGCUAAUCCGACCUAGGCUCAUCUGAUAGCGCAAGGCCCGAAGGUCCCCUGCUUUCUCCCGUAGGACGUAUGCGGUAUUAGCGUCCGUUUCCGAACGUUAUCCCCCACUACCAGGCAGAUUCCUAGGCAUUACUCACCCGUCCGCCGCUCUCAAGAGAAGCAAGCUUCUCUCUACCGCUCGACUUGCAUGUGUUAGGCCUGCCGCCAGCGUUCAAUCUGAGCCAUGAUCAAACUCUAAUCGAAUUCCCGCGGCCGCCAUGGCGGCCGGGAGCAUGCGACGUCGGGCCCA